rnacentral:rRNA from 1 species
GACGAACGCUGGCGGCGUGCUUAACACAUGCAAGUCGAACGGUAAGGCCCUAGCUUGCUGGGGUACACGAGUGGCGAACGGGGGAGUAACACGUGGGUGACCUGCCCUGCACUUCGGGAUAAGCCUGGGAAACUGGGUCUAAUACCGGAUAGGAUCGCACCGUGAGGGGGUGGUGGAAAGUUUUUCGGUGUUGGAUGGGCCCGCGGCCUAUCAGCUUGUUGGUGGGGUAAUGGCCUACAAGGGCGGCGACGGGUAGCCGGCCUGAGAGGGUGGACGGAUACAUUGGGACUGAGACACGGCCCAGACUCCUACGGGAGGCAGCAGUGGGGAAUAUUGCACAAUGGGCGGAAGCCUGAUGCAGCGACGCCGCGUGUGUGAUGACGGCCUUCGGGUUGUAAACUCCUUUCACCAUCGACGAAGGUUUUCUGACGGUAGAUGGAGAAGAAGCACCGGCUAACUACGUG